rnacentral:rRNA from 1 species
GCAUAACGCGAAGAACCUUACCAAGGCUUGACAUACACCAGAACACCCUAGAAAUAGGGGACUCUUUGGACACUGGUGAACAGGUGGUGCAUGGUUGUCGUCAGCUCGUGUCGUGAGAUGUUGGGUUAAGUCCCGCAACGAGCGCAACCCUCGUUCUAUGUUGCUAGCACGUAAUGGUGGGAACUCAUGGGAUACUGCCGGGGUCAACUCGGAGGAAGGUGGGGAUGACGUCAAAUCAUCAUGCCCCUUAUGUCUUGGGCUUCACGCAUGCUACAAUGGCCGGUACAAAGGGCUGCAAUACCGUGAGGUGGAGCGAAUCCCAAAAAGCCGGUCCCAGUUCGGAUUGAGGUCUGCAACUCGACCUCAUGAAGUCGGAGUCGCUAGUAAUCGCAGAUCAGCAACGCUGCGGUGAAUACGUUCCCGGGUCUUGUACACACCG